rnacentral:rRNA from 1 species
GACGAACGCUGGCGGCGUGCCUAACACAUGCAAGUCGAACGGGGAAGCAGAGCUUGCUCUGUGGAUCAGUGGCGAACGGUUGAGUAACACGUGAGUAACCUGCCCUUCACUCUGGGAUGAGCGUUGGAAACGACGUCUAAUACUGGAUACGACAACCGAAGGCAUCUUCUGGUUGUGGGAAGAAUUUUGUUCAAGGAUUGACUCGCGGCGUAUCAGCUUGUUAGUGAGGUAAUGGCUCACCAAGGCGACGACGGGUAGCCGGCCUGGGAGGGGGACCGGCCCCACUGGGCCUGAGGUACGGCCCAGACUCGUACGGGACGCAACAGUGGGGAAUAUUACACAGUAGGCGCGAGCCUGAUGUAGUAACGCCGCGUGAGGGAUGACGGCCUUCGGGUUGUAAACCUAUUUUAGUAGAGCAGAAGCGAAAGUGACGGUACCUGCAGAAAAAGCACCGGCUAACUACGUG